UGAUUCUCUAACACUGGAUAUUUUUCUGAUUUUAUUUAGGUAAAUUUGUACCUAUUUUAAAAAUAUCUUCACACAAAAUCUCUAAUGCAAUUUCCAGUGGUUGCUCUAAUCCCUCAAAUCAUGAAUGUCGAAAGAAAUUACAUACAGAUAAUUAUCUGUGUCAUCCACAACUUGAAAUGUAAAAAAUCAGCAAAACUUGAAUUCCUAAGAUGUGUUCAGUAUUUGUCAAGUUUUAACUUUAGGAAUCAAGAACAUAGGUCUUUGCUUCUUUAGCUUUUUAUCUAAAUAACAUACUAUUUUCCUUUCAUGUUUGAGAAAUUUCUUUUUCACUUGUACCUUUUGUUAAAAUAUUAUCACAUAAUUUAAAAACCAACAGUGGUCAUCUAUGAUCAUAACUAUUAGCUGGCACUUUUCUUAACUAUCUGAUGUUUUGUUUUAAUUCCUUUGUUUUAAUUGCUGUUUUUGCCUCUUCUUAUUGAUGGUAGGGGACAGGGAGAAUGAUUUUCAUCUUUGGGCCUGGACAGUUUCACAGAAUAUCAAAUACAACAUCAGAUUUUAUGUUUGCGAAAAUUCCAGGAAAAGGUGUCGUAAAGAUGAAGAAGAAAAUAUGCAUUGAACUCCACCUUGGUUAAACAGAUUUAUCUUCUCAUGAAAAUUAUGUUUGCACUAGGAAGAGAGACAAGGAAUAAAUACAAAAGAACAAGGAGAACGUAAAUGGAGGCGACUUUAAAGUGAAUCUUGCUUUAAUACCUUUUAUUUUAACCUGCGGAUUGAAGGUGAGCCUUAUUGUUGAUGUGCAAGUGACCCUGAGCCCUUUCCAGUGAUCCAGCUUCAAAGAGGCCUCAGGUUUCCACCUGUGCUGGGAGAUGCCUUCCAUGACUUCCACAGAAGCCGCCAGGUGCCCGAGCUCUUGGGUGUUGGCUUGACGGUGUGAGCGGUCUUGUUUGCCUGCACCCUUCAUUUCCACCUGUCUCUCAUGUGGGUUGCACGGCUUGUUGAUUGUCUCUGGUUCUUUUUUCUUUCUCUUGUUGAUUUCUUAGGAGGGGAAAACCCUUUUAGCGUGCAUCCAGGUAGGAUCAAAGUUUCGAACAUAAUAAUGCAUAAGGAAUACAUUUAAGUGUAACAACCCAGUGCCCCUUUCACAGAUGAGGGUUGUCUAUUUAGAAGCAAUUUGUGGUGCUUAACCCCUGUCCUCGCUUUCCAAGUUAUCAGCCAAACAUUUCACAGGAAAGGAAGACAGUAAAUAAAGUCCGUAAAUGGCAUGCCACGGACAUGAGUUCAGCCAAGCUCUGGUGAUUCUGUGAGUUCAUUUUAAGGUUGCGUUUUCAGAGCUGCUUUCCACAGCAGCAUCGCCUGAGUCCAUGGCUGGGAGGUAUCCACCAGUGCCCAGUGGUGCUGAAGACUUCUUCCUGGUUACAAUUAUCUGGUGAUGUCAUACCAACCCAAUGGCAUGUUGGAUUCUGCCAAAUUCAUCCAUGUGUCUCAAGCUCCUGCUUUGUGCUAUACACUGUCUGGUCCCAAGGGCAACAAAGUGCAAACCCAGACCUGUGUCUGCAGGAGGCAUGGUCUUCCCUGUCUCAGGCCCCACCUCCUCUUCUGGUUAAAUCAACUGUGC
rnacentral:lncRNA from 1 species